UUUCGAACAUGCCGAGGUCCUUGACCCAAGGCCAGGUUUUUCAAUCGAUCGUCCUUCUCCUCGGGUCAACACUUCCGACCGGAGCGUGAGAGGAGCCUGGCGGCAUUUCUCCGUGUGUAUCUGUGCGUGCUUGUGCGCCUUUGUGUUUAAACGAAUGACUUCGUAUCUCAUUUCCGGGCGGGCCGAUUGACGAUGAAAAUCGGGUCAUCUCUGGAGCUACGAACGGAACUACUCGGAAGAGCUCGGCUCGGCUGAACCCAGCACGUUUCGUCGGGGAAGGAAUUAAAAGCUGGAAGGAGAAAAAAGCCAAGAGACUUGGGCGGCUUCUUGAUGUUUCUGCAGCGGCAAACGGCGAGCGGCUGCCUAUUCCUCCAUUUUCGCGGGCAUUCGCCUGCUCCUGACGACGGAAAGAAAGGAAGAUCGCCGCCUCUCCUUCUAGGAUUACUGGAUCAAUAAACUAAGAUCGCUAUAUUUAAAGCUUGUAUGUACACACACUUGGGGGGGGGGUUAGCUUCG